rnacentral:rRNA from 1 species
GAGUGAACGCUGGCGGUAGGCCUAACACAUGCAAGUCGAACGGCAGCACAGUAAGAGCUUGCUCUUACGGGUGGCGAGUGGCGGACGGGUGAGGAAUACAUCGGAAUCUACUUUUUCGUGGGGGAUAACGUAGGGAAACUUACGCUAAUACCGCAUACGACCUACGGGUGAAAGCAGGGGAUCUUCGGACCUUGCGCGAUUGAAUGAGCCGAUGUCGGAUUAGCUAGUUGGCGGGGUAAAGGCCCACCAAGGCGACGAUCCGUAGCUGGUCUGAGAGGAUGAUCAGCCACACUGGAACUGAGACACGGUCCAGACUCCUACGGGAGGCAGCAGUGGGGAAUAUUGGACAAUGGGCGCAAGCCUGAUCCAGCCAUACCGCGUGGGUGAAGAAGGCCUUCGGGUUGUAAAGCCCUUUUGUUGGGAAAGAAAAGCAGCAGGUUAAUACCCCGCUGUUCUGACGGUACCCAAAGAAUAAGCACUGGCUAACUUCGUG